rnacentral:rRNA from 1 species
GGCGGCAGGCUUAAUACAUGCAAGUCGAGCGCCCGUAGCAAUACGGGAGCGGCAGACGGGUGAGUAACGCGUGGGAACGUACCCUUUGGUUCGGAACAACACAGGGAAACUUGUGCUAAUACCGGAUAAGCCCUUACGGGGAAAGAUUUAUCGCCGAAGGAUCGGCCCGCGUCUGAUUAGCUAGUUGGUGAGGUAAUGGCUCACCAAGGCGACGAUCAGUAGCUGGUCUGAGAGGAUGAUCAGCCACACUGGGACUGAGACACGGCCCAGACUCCUACGGGAGGCAGCAGUAGGGAAUAUUGGACAAUGGGGGCAACCCUGAUCCAGCCAUGCCGCGUGAGUGAUGAAGGCCUUAGGGUUGUAAAGCUCUUUUGUGCGGGAAGAUAAUGACGGUACCGCAAGAAUAAGCCCCGGCUAACUUCGUGCCAGCAGCCGCGGUAAUACGAAGGGGGCUAGCGUUGCUCGGAAUCACUGGGCGUAAAGCGCACGU